CCUACGGGAGGCAGCAGUGGGGAAUUUUGGACAAUGGGGGAAACCCUGAUCCAGCCAUGCCGCGUGAGUGAAGAAGGCCUUCGGGUUGUAAAGCUCUUUCGGCUGGGAAGAAAUCGCACAGGCUAAUACUCUGUGUGGAUGACGGUACCAGCACAAGAAGCACCGGCUAACUACGUGCCAGCAGCCGCGGUAAUACGUAGGGUGCGAGCGUUAAUCGGAAUUACUGGGCGUAAAGCGUGCGCAGGCGGUUGUGCAAGACAGAUGUGAAAUCCCCGGGCUCAACCUGGGAACUGCAUUUGUGACUGCACGACUAGAGUACGGCAGAGGGGGGUAGAAUUCCACGUGUAGCAGUGAAAUGCGUAGAGAUGUGGAGGAAUACCGAUGGCGAAGGCAGCCCCCUGGGUCGAUACUGACGCUCAUGCUCGAAAGCGUGGGGAGCAAACAGGAUUAGAUACCCUGGUAGUCCACGCCCUAAACGAUGUCAACUAGUUGUUGGUAGGGUUAAACCUAUUAGUAACGUAGCUAACGCGUGAAGUUGACCGCCUGGGGAGUACGGUCGCAAGAUUAAAACUCAAAGGAAUUGACGG
rnacentral:rRNA from 1 species